UACGUAGGGGGCAAGCGUUAUCCGGAUUUACUGGGUGUAAAGGGGGCGCAGACGGCAGCGCAAGCCAGGAGUGAAAGCCCGGGGCCCAACCCCGGGACUGCUCUUGGAACUGCGCGGCUGGAGUGCAGGAGGGGCAGGCGGAACUCCUGAUGUAGCGGUGAAAUGCGUAGAUAUCAGGAGGAACACCGGUGGCGAAGGCGGCCUGCUGGACUGCGACUGACGUUGAGGCCCGAAAGCGUGGGGAGCAAACAGG
rnacentral:rRNA from 1 species